UAAAGGCUCGUUUACACUUGCAAAUUUUGCUGCGAUUUUAGGUGCGAUUUUCUUCUUCUGCUUGAUGUGAACGAGUAGAUAAGUCAAUUUAGUCAUGAAUGUUCACAUUGCUGUACAUGUACUCCGAACAUUCGCGACUCCUCUACUCGUUCACAUGCAUCAGAAGGAGAAAAUCGCAUUAGAAAUCGCAGCAAAAAUUGCAAGUGUAAACAGGCCUUUAGGUUCUCCUGUGCGGUAUAUCGGCAUGAAAAAUUGAAAAUGUCCCUCAAUCUUCUUGCUAUAAGCCUCGGGUUUACAGAUAAAAGGCUAUAGCCUAGACUAUUUAAUAUCUUUACAACAACUGAGAUAUUACUUUCCUAAUUAUAUUUAUCGCAACCCACCCUGUCAACUUUCCUUGUGGGAGGAAACUGCCGGAGCGCCCGGAGAAAACCCACGACUUUCGGCAGAGCGUCGACCGACCCUUUUCACACGAGAAUCGUAGCGAGAAUCCAACCCACGAUCUCAGAAGUGAAAGGCGCUGAAGACUGCGCCAC